rnacentral:rRNA from 1 species
GGUUGAUCCUGCCAGUAGUCAUAUGCUUGUCUCAAAGAUUAAGCCAUGCAUGUCUAAGUAUAAGCAAUUUAUACAGUGAAACUGCGAAUGGCUCAUUAAAUCAGUUAUCGUUUAUUUGAUAGUACAUUACUACUUGGAUAACCGUGGUAAUUCUAGAGCUAAUACAUGCUAAAAAUCCCGACUUUUUGGAAGGGAUGUAUUUAUUAGAUAAAAGACCAAUGCUUUUUCGGAAGCUCUUUGGUGAUUCAUGAUAACUUUUCGAAUCGCAUGGCCUCGAGCCGGCGAUGGUUCAU